rnacentral:lncRNA from 1 species
CCCCUCUACUUUAUAACUAGUGCUUCAGAACCUGUAUCUGUCAAAUCUUGUUCCUUUCAUCUAUUUGCUUCGCUCAAUAUUCUAUCCUUCACCAUAGUUAAAGUUAGUUUGUCAUUGAUAGUGGAAUUACUUAGUGUCACUACUAAUAUCUCUCAACUAUCUAGUAAGAAACUUAGCAAAAGCAAUGCUUACACCUCAUCAUCAAGAAGCAACUUUAUCGUAGUCAACCAAUUCAGGAUCUUCUGGAAAUUAUUCAAGUGCUCUGAAAUAUUCUGUCUAUCUUAUACUUCAAGUUUAUCAGUUUUCUGAUUAGAUAUGCUUUAUUCUGUGCAUUCUUUCGCUGAUACAAAUCCCUCAGCUUCUUUCAGACAUGGUAAGCAUCCGUUCCUAUCGCAACAUCAUGGAUCACACUCGCAUUAAUCUACUAUCCAAUCAUAGCCAUGGCUUUUCUAUUCAAUUUUUUCCACUCAUUAGCUUUUAUAUUAUCUGACAUUUUUUCUAUAAUUUAAUCCGCUCAAAUAAAUUUCAACAAUAUAAUAAAUCCUUCAUUAUUAUCCUCCACAAGGAAUAAUUAGAUGAAUUUAAUUUAACAAUACUGGAUUUAUCCUUUAUUUUAACUAACAGAAACGACACUGACUGUCUAACCACGGCUCUGAUACUGGGAGUUGGGGUGAAAGAGUCACAAACAUAAUUAUAUCCAAGAUAAAUUCUAUCUUCUGUGCUAAUUAAAACAGGCAGUAACUCAAUAAUAUCAAAUCCAGCA